UCAGACACACCAGAAGAGGGCAUCAGAUCUCAUUACAGAUGGUUCUAAGCCACCAUGUGGUUGCUGGGAUUUGAACUCAGGACCUUGGAAGAGCAGUCAGUGCUCUUAACCACUGAGCCAUCUCUCCAGCCCCCUAAGCUACAUUUCUUUUUUUUUUUUUCUGGAGCUGGGGACCGAACCCAGGGCCUUGCGCUUCCUAGGUAAGCGCUCUACCACUGAGCUAAAUCCCCAGCCCCGCUACAUUUCUUAAUUACAAUGCAUGUAUCUGUGAUUAAAAUUGAAUUCAUAAAUUAGGCACAAUUUUGCCCAUUCAUCAUAAGUGUAAUAAAUAGCACAAUCAUGGUAAUACUGUCCUAGAAAACCAUGUGACAUGGCCUCUUGAAGUAGCUCACUGUGUAGCACGCAUCCUGGCUUCUGUGGUGACCUGAUAAAUCGAGGUGCUAAAUCGUAGGCAUCGAGAGGUAGUACUGAGCUGCCACCGGCCCUUUGAACGUUCGUCAGGAGGCUCCUCUGCCUGGGGGCAUUGUGGAUCACGAGACCAUGACAGUGCAGGGGAUAACAGAAGCCACCACAAGAAGCCAUCACAGACAGGGGAUUAUUUAGAUGGCUGUGGAAGGAAGGAUCUUCUUUGGCCCAACAUUUUCUUUUUCCCAUGUACUGUGUCAUUUGAUCUAAACCAGCUCUCAGGAGGGUUUCAUUCAAGUAACAGGCUCAGGAGGGAGAGUGGUUUGGGCCAGAUUCAGGUCCCAGCGUUCAGCUGUGUUAGCCCCCCUGGGUCUCUAGCUGCAUGCCCAUCUUACUAACAGAACACUACCUUCAAUAUGGACUGCUCCUUCAUUCCCACAUCAGAACAGGACCACCGCAGGGUAGAGGGGUCCUUGGGACCCCUUUUGACUAAUCUUGCAUUUUAGAGGCAUGGUGACUUAUUUUACUUGUUCAAAACAUUUUAUUAUCAUUUUAUGUGCAUGGCUGUCUUGACUCCGUGUCUGUCUGUGUGCCGCCCGAGUGCCUGGUGCCAGCAGAGGUCAAGAGAAGGCGUUGGGAUCUCUUAUAACUCCAGUUAGGUGGCUGUGAUCAAUGGGGUACUGGGAACUGACACUGGUCUUCUAAAGGAGAUGCCAAUGCUCUUAAUCAGUGAGCCACCUCUCCAGCCAAAGCAUCAAGGGGAUUUAAAAUGAAUAUUUUGGGGGAGCUGGGAAAGCAAAUACUAACUAUAUAAUGUAGUGAGGGUUUUGCUGCUGUGAGCAGACACUGUGACCAAGGCAAGUCUUAUCAUUAAGGACACCAUUUAAUUGGGGCUGGCUUACAGGUUCAGAGGUUCAGUCCAUUAUCAUCAAGGUGGGAGCAUGGCAGCAUCCAGGCAGGCAUGGUGCAGGAGAAGCUGAGGAGGAACUGAGAGUUCUACAUCUUGUUCUGAAGGCAAAUAGGAGAAGACUGGCUUCCAGGGAGCUAGGAUGAGGGUCUUAGAGCCCACACUCACAGGGACACACCUACUCCAACAAGGCCAUACUUUCUGAUAGUGUCAAUCCCUGGGCCAAGCAUAUUCUAUCUAUAUUUUUUUAAAUGAAGACUUUAUAUGAUUUCCUAGAACAGAGCUGAGUUCAGUUUCUUAAUUGGAAAAAAGUCAGGAUGAAGCCGCCCUCUGUUCGUUCCCAUCUCAGGGUCCUGGUUGAUGAGUGAGGGGCACAAGAUAGGAAGUGGGCAGUAAUGGGAUCUUGCUAGGGAUAGUUGAAGUAGAGCCAUAGGACCCAGACCUGGGCAGAGAGAAGGCAAACCAAAAGAGAGGUGGCUGGAGCAGCUCCUGGGGGUCCAACUCAGACGGAGGAAGGAGAUUCAAUUCUUCCCACUCCCUAAGUUACAUCUCAACCCCCAAACAGCUCAAUUCCUUCAGGAGAGAAAUCCUGCUAAGGACAGCGGUGGGGUGGGCGCUAUGCCAACCAGGAGCAGGCCAGGACAGAUCUUGGGGCUUGCACCAUGCCUCAAUCUCUAAAUCUUGCUGGUGCCUUUCUCCCUCCCCAGCCUGUCUUUGACAGUAUCUCUUUAGAAAUGUCCCCAGGCAAGCAACUUCUUUCGGAGAUUAUAGAUCAGGAAAGUUCUGAAACCACAACUUCCACUUCUCAUGUGUGGGCUGGUGGCACAGGGCUUUCUAGUCCUGUGAUGUACCAAGGAGGGCCACCUCUCGCUUGAUCCCUGUUCCAGAUAUCCCCUGCUGCACCAACCCCACAGAGUCUUCUUGAGUAUUUCAUUCUUUUCUUUAUUUUUUUUAAAAGUUUAUUUAUUUAAUGUAUACAAGUACACUAUAGCUGUCUUCAGACAUACUAGAAGAGGGCAUCGGAUCCCAUUACAGAUGGUUGUGAGCCACCAUGUGGUUGCUGGGAAUUGAACUCAGAACCUCUGGAAGAGCAGUCAGUGCUCUUAACCGCUGAGCCAUCUCUCCAACCCUCUUUUCUUUAUUUUGAUUGUAUAUGUUUGCUUCAGGGAUUCACUGCCUGGGGAGAUGUUAACAAACACUGGCCUCUUUACCAAAGAGGCACCAAACCAAAAGUACCAUUUCACCAACGUCCAACUUGGAGACCCGAUGAGUUUAUUGGGAUUACUUAAGAGCCCAGGUGAGGGAUUACUUACAGGAGCAAGAGUUACCCCCCAAACAGCCAUAGUGCUGGAUCUUACCCUAGAAUAGGUGGCAACUUCCCCAUGGCUGUACUGAUGCAGUCCUGUCUUAGGUCUGGUCUUAGCUGCCUUCCUGGGCUCCUGGUACUUGGGACACUCUUGAAAAACUAGUAAACGGAUGGGCACCGCCAUGGUUAUGUUGGUAAAGACUGAGUACCUUGGGGUACACACAUAAAAACCAGGUCUUGGUGGUAAGAAGGUCAGGGUACAGGGUUGGGGAUUUAGCUCAGUGGUAGAGCACUUGCCUAGCAAGCACAAGGCCCUGGGUUUGGUCCUCAGCUCAGAAAAAAAAAAAAGGUCAGGGUACUUGAGAGGCCCUCCCCACUACGAUUUAAAAUAAAAUAAAUAUAUAUUUUAGAAGGGCCUCUGUUCUGAAACUUGCUGUGCAGCCUGGGUGGACUUGAACUUGUGGCUAUUCUCCUGUCUCAGCCUCCAGGGUGCUAAUAGGCAAGUGCGACCAUGCCUGGUGUGGAUGGACUUUCUCCCCUCUGUUGAAGGCAUCACUUCUUCCUUGAAGUCCUUGAUGAAAGCUCACUGUGUCUCCAAUGUCUCCCGCCAUUGGAUUCACCUCCCUUGGCCUUGGAUGCCUCCACAGUACCGUGCCUGACUCACCCUUGUUUCUUUGUUCAGGCCUGGCCAAUAUGCUCCAGGGUUUCCCCGCCCCCCUCCCCCCCAGAAAUUACUCAACAGUUACGUCAUCAAUCACUGGACCGUGCGCUGUCCUCCAACACACUUCUUCUAUCGUUUUGUUUAAACUAACAAUAUUUCCCCAAUAACGAGUGUUUAUCGUGGAAAAUUUAGAUGCAAAAACGUAUACAAAGAAAAAAACACCCAUCGGUUCUCGAAACCAAAUCUCGCUAGUGUUUCUUUUAGGAUUCUCUCCGUUGCCCCUUGCUCCGGGUCUUCACGCAUGUCUGUGAGUCCUUCUGCUGCUUUAUUUUGACAAGAUCUCACCAUGUAGCCCAGGCUGGCUUGAAAGCCACAUUCCAGUCUUAAUCUCCUGUUUGCCUGUUGGGCCCGGGGCACCAUGCUGGAUGCUAGUUUUUACCCCCUCCCCUUCUUCUUAAAAUCCCUCCUUCACCCCUACCACCCACUCUGUGAGUGAAUCUCAUCCUGUCUGUUGUGAAGCUGAUUCUCUCUUGGUUCUUUUUUUUUUUUUUUUUUUUUUCGGAGCUGGGGACCGAACCCAGGGCCUUGUGCUUCCUAGGCAAGCGCUCUACCACUGAGCUAAAUCCCCAGCCGUGAAGCUGAUUCUCUGGGAAACCUUUCCUCCCCCACAUUGGGCUCCUGUGACACAUUCAGGACCCAGUACUUUUCCCUAUCGAACUAACCACAGCUAGAAAUAAAUGGUCACUUGUGUUCCUCUUGUUUGAUAUGUAUCCUAGAUACACAGUUCGAUGCGCAGGUUAAGACUGGCCUUUCUUGUUUAUUUGUGUGUGUGUGUGUGUGUGUGUGUGUGUGUGUGUGUGUGUGUGUGUCUAGCCUCUGAUGUAUGAUUCUCCUGCGUCAGCCUCAUGCACGCUGAGACGUCAGAUCCGUGCUACCAGCCUAGCAUCUUCUUGUUUAUUCUGAUGGUCUCACUGGCCAGCACAAUGUCCAGCAUACAGAAAACGUACUAACACACCCCACCAGGGCACUGUCCUAGAAUAAACAUGUGUUCAGUCACUUACUCUUUAUAAGAGCAAUGUGAAGAUUGACGAUGUAGAUCGGUUGGUAGAGUACCUGUCUGACAUACAGUAAGUAGCCCUGGGUUCAGUCUCCAGCACUGUAUAAACUGGGUGUCAUGGCACAUGGUUGAAAUCCCAGCACUCGGGAGGUAGAUGCACAAGAAUUGGAGGUUCAAGGCCGUCCUCAUCCACAAGGUGAGUUCAAAGCCAGCGUGGGCCACACGAGACCUUGUCCUUAAAAAAAGUGAUUACUUGUUCCUCUUGCAGAGGACCCCAGUUUGGUUCUCAGAGUCUAUACGGUGGCUGACAACCCUCUGAACUGUAGUUCCGGGGGAUCUGAUUCCCUCUUCUGACUUUUGUGGGCAUCAGGCACACAUCAGGUACACAUUAUACAUACGUGAAGACAAAACAUUUAUGUACGUAAGAAUAAAUAAUUGUUUUCAAAGGAUCAAUCCGUGAGUAGAGAUGACUCAACAGUUAAGAGUACAUCCUGAUUUCUCAGAGGAUCCAAGUUUGAUUUCUGCCUCCCAUAUCAGGCCAUUUACAGUGGCCUAUAAAGGCAGUUCUAGGAGAUAGAUGCUCUCUUCCACGCGCAAACACGUGUGUGUGCGCACACAGACACAUACAGACUCACAUAAACACACAGUUAAAGGGAAUUUAUUCGACAAACAAAGCUAAUUGAUUAGGGUGCAACUGACAUGGUCUCAGAGACAGGACACUGAGCUAGAGGUUCCAUAAGAUUUCUAUACAUCUUUCAAGUAUAUUAGGUUAUAUUUAUUGGCAGAAUCCUGGAGAAGUGACACCGCACCCCCCCCCUUUUAAGGUAAUGUAUCUUAGGCUGGAGAGAUGGCUCAGAGGUUAAGAGCACUGACUGCUCUUUCAAAGGUCCUGAGUUCAAAUCCCACAACCAUAUGGUGGCUUACAAGCAUCUGUAAUGGAAUCCAAGGCUCUCUUCUGGUGUGUCUGAAGACAGCUACAGUGUAUUUAUACAUAAUAAAUAAAUCUUAAAAAAUAGCAAUGUAUUUUAAUGUGUAUGUAUGUAUACCUAUGUGAACUUAUGUGGUGUCCUCAGAGACCAGAGAGGGUGUCAAAUCCACUGGAAAUGGAGUUACAGGUAGAUGUGGACCACCUGAAAGAGAUACUGGGAACCAAACCCAGGUCUUCUGCAAAAGCAAUAUGUCCUUUUAACUGCUAGGCCAUCUAACUAAAGAUUUUGCCCUUGCUAAUGAAUUAACCUCACAGAAUCUGGGAUUAAGGGAGUAGGGAAGACUUUGAGAUAAUAGGACAUCGAUGCAAAGGCAGGUAGGAAAUUUAGCCAGAAGAGAACGCAGAAUACUGGGGAUAUGGAAGGGGCUUUCAUCCUGGAAUCUUGUUGAAGCCUUUUGCCAGUUGCGAGCCAAAAAUGCCAACAAGGGCUAGCAGAGUAACUCAGUGGCUGAAGGAUUUUGUAACCAACCCUCACGACUGGAGUGGACUAGAACGCACAUAGUGGAAAGUGAGAACUGACUCCUACAAGUUGUCCUCUGACCUCACCUCCACAAGCAACGCCUCCCCCACAGAAAGUAAAUACAUGUAAUAAAAAAAGUUACAGAAAAAAAAAAAAGAAUUCCAUAACAAUUAACAUCUGCAAUGGAAGUUGCCAACAUAGAGAUGAUGUUUCUUUUACACCAAGAUGUUUCAAGUAAGAAUGUUAAAAUAGCAAUGAAUCAGGCUGGAGGACUCAGCAUAUAUGGCUUGAUUAUUGCCUUCCUCCCCUCCUGGAAUUUCACAGACAAGACUGUAACUUUGUUUCUUUGUGUCUAAGCUUUUUUUUGGGGGGGGGAUAAAGGUUAGUGAUUUCUGUUUACAGUGGAGAUAUCCUAACUUCCUGCAUGCCCCUGACCUAAGAUGUGACCUUAUUAUCUACACAGCAGUCCUGUAAAUUCCACACAAGACUCACUUAGCAACCCUUUGAAGAGCUCACCAAAAUCAUUCACACAGGGGUUGGGAGUGGAGAUUUCUUGGUAGAGUACCUGCUUAGCAUGCCCUAGUGUCAAUGCCCAGAACCCCAUAGGUGCUUGCCCAUCAUUCCAAAGCUUGGGAAGUAGAGGCAAGUGGACCAGCACUUCAAGGUCAUUCUGGGGCUACCUAGCAAGUCUGAGGCUAGCCUGGGCUACUGGAGAUGCUGUCUUAAAUGAUGACAACACAAACCUAGCACCCAGGGUUCUUUCCAUCUGUUCUACCUUAGGAACCUUUGCUGUUCCCUUCUGCCUCUGCCCAUUUUGAGAACCUUCACAUCUUUUUGUUUUGUUUUGUUUUUUAUUUUGUUUUUAGACAGGUUCUCACUAUGUAACCGUAGGUGGUCUGGAACUCACAGAGAUCCACCUGCCUCUGCCUCCUGAGUGCCACUAUCCCUGGUAAUUCUCACAUCUUUUGAUGUCCCCUGUAGAAAAAGAUCUCUCUGGCUUGCACGUCUUUUUCCUCACGUCCACAUCCUUCAUCACCUCCAGCCUGGAUGCCACCUUCACCUCCCACCUUUGCUAUCUGCCUGUCUCACACUACUCUGGUCCCUUCUCCUCUUUGAAGCCAGGGUAAGUCAUCCACAGCCUUUCCGUGGCUUAAAACUCUGAUGGCUUCCCACAGGUUUUGCCAAAAUACAUUCCAUGGGACUGGAGAGACUGCUCAGUGGCUGCCCUUGUGGAGGACCUGGGUUUGGUUCCCAUGAGUGUUCACGACUCUCUCUUUUAUCCCCCAUUUAUUUAUUUAUUUACUCACUUUUCAUCCUGAUAGCAGCCCCCCUCUCUCCUUUCAGUGCCCCCCUCACACAGCCCCUCCCCUUCACCUCUGAGAAAGAGGAGGUCCCCACCUGGUUACCAUCCCACCCUGGUACCUCAAGUCACUGCAGGACUAGGCACAUCCUCUCUCACUGAGGCCAGAUGAAGCAGUCCUGUUAGGGGACUAGGAUCCAGGGGCAGGCAACACAUUCAGAGUGAGCCUCGUUCUAGUUGCUGGGGGAUCUGCAUGAAGACCAGACCACACUUCUGCAACUCUCUUUAAAGAUUUAUUUAUUUAUUUGUUUGUUUAUUUAUUAUAAGUACACUGUAGCUGUCUUCAGACACACCAGAAGAGGGCAUGAGCUCCCAUUACGGAUGGCUGUGAGCCACCAUGUGGUUGCUGGGAAUUGAACUCAGGACCUCUGGAAGGGCAGUGGAUGCUCUUAACCGCUGCGCCAUCUCUCCAGCCCAUCUUUAUCUAUUUUUAAAAUAAUUUUAAUUAAUUGAUUUACUAUUAUUUAUGUGUAUGAGCGUUUCCCUACAUUCUAAAUCUAUGCAUCACAUAUAUGCCUGGUUCCCCAUGGAUGCCUCAAGAGGACUUUAGAACCCCUGGAACUGGAGUUGCAGAUGAUUGUGAUCCCCAGGCUUAGUAGUAGAUCACACACAUCCUUCUUGUGCAAUCAUGCUUUCUCACGAUUGCUCAUGCCUAGGCAAGUUGGGCAUGGUGGCACCCAUAUCUCUGGUUCCAACACUGGGCUGGCAUAGGCUGGGUUCUAAGCCAUCCUGAUAUACAUAGUGAGUUCUAGGCCAGCCGGGGCCACACAGUGAGACCCUGUCUGAAAAGACCAAAGCGACAUACUUGGAGGACUGUGGGUCAGGGGUCACUGGAGGGUUGUAUGGAUAGUGGGAACACAGCCCCACCCUUACCCUGCCACACCCCACCCACCCUGUGCAUCUCUCUACCUCUUGAAAUCUCCUUAUGAUAAACCAGCAGACACAAUCAUUUUCCUGAACGCUGUGAGCUAUGCUCACUAGGUAACUGAACAUGAGAAAGGGAAUUAUGGGGAUUUCCAUUUGCAACAUAGUUAAAACAACUUUGGACUUUGGACUGGGUAGUUCUAUGUCCACUUGACACAAGCUAGAGUCCCCUGAGAGGAGGGACCCUCAACUUAGAAAAUGUCUCCUUAAGAUCUGUGCAUUUCUUUUUUUUUUAUUUUUUAUUAACGAGUAUUUCUUAUAUACAUUUCGAGUGUUAUUCCCUUUCCCGGUUUCUGGGCAAACAUCCUCCUCCCCCCUCCCGAUCUGUGCAUUUCUUAAUUAGCGAUUGGUAGGGGAGGGCCCAGCCUAUUGGGAAUGAUGUCAUCCCUGGGCUGGUGGUCCAGGGUUCUAUAAGAAAGCUGGUUGAGCAAGCCCUGGGAGCAAGCCACUAAGCGGCGCCCCUCUAUGGUUUUUGCAUCAGCUGCUGCCUCCAGGUCCCUGCCCUGAGUCCCCUCAGUGAUGGGCUGUUAUCUGGACGUGUAAGGUGAAAGAAACACUUUCCUCCCCAAGUUGCCUUGGUCGUGGUGUUCCGUCACUGUGGAAGGACUUUGGAACUUUGGGCCUGAAAGAACACUGAGUGUUCAAAGCUUGGUGAACUAUUUUGCGGGAGCUCGGAAGGAUGGAGUUUUGAGAGAAAUACACACAACAGCGGCCUGGUUUGUGACGUCUCAGAGGGAAGCGAAGACUCCGCGGGGCUAGCUGUGUGAAGAGUGGGUGGUGUCUGAUCAGCAGGAGCUGAAGAAUCAGUUGAGAUUAACAAGAGACCAAAAUCACUAAAGUAAAACCUUUGCUUUGCCUGGACGAUGAGUGCUGGUUAGCUGAGGAUGAAGACUCAGCUGUGAUUAAGAGACCAGCAUCGCUGAGGACAGCUGGGGAUAACAGGAAGAACCUGUAACCCAGGCCUGAGCUGAGAAGGACAGGGUGAGGGAGAGACAGGGAUACUUCCCAGCUGCCUGUCCUUGUGUCCUGAGGAUAUCUGGAGAGGAGACCAGGCUCUGUAUCCUGAUGAUAAAGGUCCAGCUUCUCUGAAGAACACAGAACUCUGCACUACCAUCUACUCCAGGCUACGAAAGCAUUCACACAGAUGAUGACACUCCAGCCUUGCAACUGGGAGGAGGGCAUGAUUACUAAUAGUAAAAAAAAAAUAUUAUCAAAA